AUGCUUCAGCCUGGGCAGACCCCACUGACACCCCAAAAUUACCCCAAGGAACAGCUGGCAGUACCUGGGAAUGUCAGCAGGGUGGGUUUGCAGAGGGGCUCAGACAGCAAUUCCUGGUGCUGACCUCCCAGAGCUCCUGCACACUCCCAGUGAGAAGAACACAAACUCACAGCCAGUAAGACCUGGCAGUUCCCUGCAGUGAGAGCUCAGCACACAUCCACAGAGGCAAGUCCAGCAUCUGAAAGAAAGAAGAAGAAAAAGGGACUUUUGCAAUGAACCUCUGAAGCUGACAAGCCCAAAAGCUCUGUCUGGCUGCUCUGGAACAAAAGGAUCCCCCCAGGGAUGAGGCACAUUCCCAGCAAACAGUCCCAGCACGGCACAGGGGCAACUCUGGAGCUGGUGUGUGGGGCUGGCAGGGACAGCAGCAAAUUCCCCCAGUCUGGUGGCACAAAAGAGAGACAAAGGCCAGCAAUGCCCAUGGGAGGUGCAGGUUUAAUUCUGCUCCCUGCACUGCCACGGCAGGAAAUCUCCAGGGGGCAUAGAAACUCCCAGGAUGCACAAAAUGCAGCAUCUGUCACCCUGAUCCUGCUUAAACUCAGCCUGUGGGGCCAAACCCCUCCAGAUAAACGCUGACCUGGCCUGGAUCAGUCUCAGAUACUGCCCCAGUUCUCAUCUCCAGCUGCUCCCAGGGCUGCCCCACAUUCCUGCCCCUUGGGACAGGGCUCUCUCUGUGUCCCAGGCUCUGGGGACUGCAGGGACCAGGGCAGGUCCCUCUGGGUUUGGGACACUCUGGGGACAGCUGGGGACUCACUCCACACCACGGGCAGGACCAGGGGCUUUCCAGUGCAGGCCAGCAGGGCUGGAGCCUCUGGGGUUUGGCUGCUCAAACACCAAAGCUCUUGGCAAAGACAGGACAAGUUAAGUGGGUUUUCCUGUCCUGAAAGAGAAGAGAAAACAGAAAUUAAAUCCACUGUGGAAGGCAAAGGCUCUUGGCUUUCCCACUUCUGUUCUGAUUGUUCACUGUAGGGUUUUAUUCAUAAAAAAUGAGAGGUGGUACCAAAUCAAAA